rnacentral:rRNA from 1 species
AUACGUAGGGGGCAAGCGUUAUCCGGAUUUACUGGGUGUAAAGGGAGCGUAGGCGGCAAAUCAAGUCAGAUGUGAAAGCCCGGGGCUCAACCCCGGGAUUGCAUUUGAAACUGGUAUGCUAGAGUGCAGGAGAGGUAAGUGGAAUUCCUAGUGUAGCGGUGAAAUGCGUAGAUAUUAGGAGGAACACCGGCGGCGAAGGCGGCUUACUGGACUGUAACUGACGUUGAGGCUCGAAAGCGUGGGGAGCAAACAGGAUUAGAUACCCUGGUAGUCCACGCCGUAAACGAUGAUUACUAGGUGUUGGUUGUCAUAGACAAUCGGUGCCGCAGCAAACGCAAUAAGUAAUCCACCUGGGGAGUACGUUCGCAAGAAUGAAACUCAAAGGAAUUGACGGGG